ensembl:lncRNA
GUAAUAGUAAAAAGUUGUAAUAGAGUAAAGUUGUAAUAUAGUAAAGUUGUAAUAUAGUAGAGUAAAGUUGUAAUAGAGUAAAGUUGUAAUAGUAAAAAGUUGUAAUAGAGUAAAGUUGUAAUAGUAAAAAGUUGUAAUAGAGUAAAGUUGUAAUAGUAAAAAGUUGUAAUAGAGUAAAGGUGUAAUAGUAAAAAGUUGUAAUAGUAAAAAGUUGUAAUAGAGUAAAGUUGUAAUAUAGUAAAUUUGUAAUAGAGUAAAGUUUUAAUAGUAAAAAGUUGUAAUAGAGUAAAGUUGUAAUAGUAAAAAGUUGUAAUAGUAAAAAGUUGGAAUAGAGUAAAGUUGUAAUAUAGUAAAGUUGUAAUAGUAAAAAGUUGUAUUAGAGUAACGUUGUAAUAGUAAAAAGUUGUAAUAGAAGAAAGUUGUAUUAGAAUAAAGUUGUAAUAGAGAAAAGUUAUAAUAUAGUAAAGUUGUAAAAGUAAAAAGUUGUAAUAGAGUAAAGUUGUAAUAGUAAAAAGUUGUAAUAGAGUAAAGUUGUAAUAGAGUAAAGUUGUAAUAGUAAAAAGUUGUACUAGAGUAAAGUUGUAGUAGAGUAAAGUUGUAAUAGAGUAAAGUUGUAUUAGUAAAAAGUUGUAAUAGAGUAAAGUUGUAAUAGUAAAAAGUUGUAAUAGAGUAAAGUUGUAAUAUAGUAAAGUUGUAAUAUAGUAGAGUAAAGUUGUAAUAGAGUAAAGUUGUAAUAGUAAAAAGUUGUAAUAGAGUAAAGGUGUAAUAGUAAAAAGUUGUAAUAGAGUAAAGUUGUAAUAGAGUAAAGUUGUAAUAGUAAAAAGUUGUAAUAGAGUAAAGUUGUAAUAUAGUAAAGUUGUAAUACAGUAAAGUUGUAAUAGAGUAAAGUUGUAAUAGUAAAAAGUUGUAAUAGAGUAAAGUUGUAAUAGUAAAAAGUUGUAAUAGUAAAAAGUUGGAAUAGAGUAAAGUUGUAAUAUAGUAAAGUUGUAAUAGAGAAAAGUUGUAAUAGUAAAAAGUUGUAAUAAAGUAAAGUUGUAACAGAGUAAAGUUGUAAUAGAGAAAAGAUGUAAUAGUAAAAAGUUGUAAUAGAGUAAAGUUGUAAUAGAGUAAAGUUGUAAUAGAGUAAAGUUGUAAUAGUAAAAAGUUGUAAUAGAGAAAAGUUGUAAUAUAAAACAGUUGUAAUAGAGUAAAGUUGUAAUAGUAAAACGUUGUAAUAGAGUAAAGUUGGAAUAUAUUAAAGUUGUAAUAGAGUAAAGUUGUAAUCGAGAAAAGUUGUAAUAGUAAAAAGCUGUAAUAGAGUAAAGUUGUAAUAGUAAAAAGUUGUAAUAGAGUAAAGUUGUAAUAGUAAAAAGUUGUAAUAGAGUAAAGUUGUAAUAGUAAAAAGUUGUAAU